rnacentral:lncRNA from 1 species
GUGUCUCUGUAUCCUGCUGGACUAUAUGCCCUUUAAAGCAAGUAGAGCACAUUACUCAUCACUCAAUCUCCAGGACCAAGUUAAUGUUCUGUAUAUAGUAAUGUCGACAGCAACAUCUCCCCCAGGUGUAACAACUAAACGUGUCUCCAGACAUUGGCAAAUAUCCUUGGGCCAUGGAGAAAACAUCACCUUCAAUUGAAAACCACUGGGCCACUCUAAUGCCUUCAAGAGAGAAGCAGCACCUUUCAUUGGAGGUAGCUGUAUCACAAGACAGCAGCAACAGCCUUAAGUCCUACAGCACACAGCACUGAAUAAAUGCUUUUGGACAGUUGUCUAUCUUCUGCCUCAGAGAAAAGAUGGAGUCCCGUUAAGAACAUAUGUACCUUGUACCUGACAUAGAAACUUCCUGUCCUAGAUGCUGUAGUAUAUUGUGGGUAUAUACUUGGGGAUUGAGAGAACAGAAAAAAGGCCGAGGCAUCAUCCUCUUCUAUGACUCUGAGGAUCAAAGGCAUUUUCUUGUAUUUCUUGAACAAAGAUUUGUGGAGGACCUACUCUGUGCAGACAUUAUUAGACAAUAAAGAGGAGAGAUCAUGGCGGUGGCAGACGGAGGCAGGGCUAGAUUGAAGCUCCGGACAGAGCAGCAGGCAGCUCGCAUUGUGAAUUUUAACUCCAUAUCAACAGCAAGAAAAAACCAGCAAUCCUGAGAGGACCCACAGACCCUCUGAAGGAAGCAGACUGCUCCUGCAGGACACAGGAGACACCCCCGCAAAACUGAAGCCAAGAGUCUCAGGCCCUUCGCCCUUGCUUCUCAGAAAAGAACAGCUAACCAUUGCCAACCAGAAUGCAUAGAAACUGAACUACUUCUGUGUCUGCAAUUGUCAUCUUGGACAAAUUACCUAAACUGCUUGGGCUGAGAUAUGUGAAUUCAGAUAUUGAAGCUUAUUUAUACCUUCAUAAUUCUAUGCUUCCAUAAUGAUUAAAUCCACCAUAGUAAUAAAUAAAGGCCUUAAC